GCGGGCGUGGCGAAAUUGGCAGACGCACCAGACUUAGAAUCUGGCGGGAGACCGUGGGGGUUCGAGUCCCUUCGCCCGCACCA
rnacentral:tRNA from 1 species